rnacentral:rRNA from 1 species
GACGAACGCUGGCGGCAUGCCUAACACAUGCAAGUCGAACGAAGGCUUCGGCCUUAGUGGCGCACGGGUGAGUAACGCGUGGGAAACUGCCUAUUGGUGGGGAAUAACGACGGGAAACUGUCGCUAAUACCGCAUAAGCCCUUCGGGGGAAAGAUUUAUCGCCGAUAGAUGUGCCCGCGUCCGAUUAGCUAGUUGGUGAGGUAAUGGCUCACCAAGGCGACGAUCGGUAGCUGGUCUGAGAGGAUGAUCAGCCACACUGGGACUGAGACACGGCCCAGACGCCUACGGGAGGCAGCAGUGGGGAAUAUUGGACAAUGGGCGAAAGCCUGAUCCUGCAAUGCCGCGUGAGUGAUGAAGGCCUUAGGGUUGUAAAGCUCUUUCGGGUGGGACGAUGAUGACGGUACCACCAGAAGAAGCCCCGGCUAACUUCGUGCCAGCCGCCGCCGUAA